UACGUAGGGUGCAAGCGUUGUCCGGAAUUAUUGGGCGUAAAGAGCUCGUAGGCGGUUUGUCGCGUCUGCUGUGAAAACUCGGGGCUCAACCCCGAACUUGCAGUGGGUACGGGCAGACUAGAGUGUGGUAGGGGAGACUGGAAUUCCUGGUGUAGCGGUGAAAUGCGCAGAUAUCAGGAGGAACACCGAUGGCGAAGGCAGGUCUCUGGGCCAUAACUGACGCUGAGAAGCGAAAGCAUGGGGAGCGAACAGG
rnacentral:rRNA from 1 species